rnacentral:rRNA from 1 species
GGUAUGGGAUGAGCUUGCGUCCGAUUAGCUAGUUGGCGGGGCAACGGCCCACCAAGGCGACGAUCGGUAGCCGGCCUGAGAGGGUGAUCGGCCACAUUGGGACUGAGAUACGGCCCAGACUCCUACGGGAGGCAGCAGUAGGGAAUAUUGUACAAUGGGGGGAACCCUGAUGCAGCAACGCCACGUGUGGGAAGAAGCAUUUCGGUGUGUAAACCACUGUCGUGAGGGAAUAAGGCCUGUUCUAGGACAGGAUUGAAUGUACCUCGAAAGGAAGCACCGGCAAACUUCGUGCCAGCAGCCGCGGUAAUACGAGGGGUGCAAGCGUUGUUCGGAAUCACUGGGCGUAAAGGGAGCGUAGGCGGAGAUUCAAGCGGAUUGUACAAUCCCGGGGCCCAACCCCGGACCUGCAGUCCGAACUGGAUCUCUUGGAUAGUUCAGGGGCAGGC